AAGAAUGAAAAUGGUAACACAGAGUUCAGAGGUGCCAGAUAGCAGCAUGAUAUUUUUUGAGUAAGGAAACUGUAAAUAAGGGACUAAAAUAAUGAUUACUGCUGCUCCCCAGGAUGGAUUUUUUAUGCAUGAAAUCCUCGAGAUUCUGCUAUUUGUUGUAUUUCAUACUGUGUCCUUACUUCCAUCAGUGGUUGAAAAUGUUUGCAAAGACAGCAAGAAAUUUCAGCAGAGGAAAUGUAAGUAAUGUAAUAUGUAUUAAGAAAUAGACAUGUUUAAAAGCUUUACUAUUUUCCUCCCAUAUAUUUUCUUCAAAAUUUUGUGGGCUGUAGUGCAGUUAUGCGUAGCCUCUUUGUUUAAUCUUUUCUAUAUGAAUGCUUUCAGGUACAGGUUGUUCUACCGAGGAGUUACUAUGUUCUCUAGGCACAAUGAAUCCAGAUCAUAAUGUUUCCCAUUUAUGUCUUUGCAGUAUAAAAACAUGAUUUUACUGAAUGCAACUUCCUAGUCCACAGAGGUUCUGUGAGGUGGAGAUCCGAAAGCACAAGAAAAUCAACCAAACAGUAUUCUCAGGUUAAUCUCACUGCUGAAGUUCAUUUGAAGCUCUGUCUGAGAAAGAAUACAGGACUUUACACUAAGACUCCAUAGUUUGAGUAUAAUGCAGUACUAAGUCAGAUUUUAGACCACAUAACACAGUAGCUUUAUCCAAUUGCACUUCCGUCUAGGCAGGUCUCUGUGAUUCCUUAUUUAAUCUGCUUUCUUUUCCUUUUUUAAUGUUCCCAAGCCCCGAUUAAUGCAAAUAGUUAAUAUUUGAUAGCAUACCCCUGGGAACGCUGUUAGCUACAGGCCUCCAACUCGACUCUGUGCCACUAAUAAUCACAGCCCUCUGAGCUCUGCCAGUCUGCCAGUUCUGAAUCCACCUCAGUGUCCACUCACCUUUCCCACACUUUCUAAGCUUUCUUACAAUAAGUUUGUGGGAGGCAAUGUCAAAGGACUUGCAGAAGUCGAAGUACACAACAUCCCUUGUUCGCCCCUCAUCUACCUAGCCAGUGAUGACAUCACAGAAGGCUACCAGGUUAUUCAAGCAUGAUUUCCCCAUGCUGAAGCUACGCUGACCACUCCUGAUACCCUCUUCUAAUUGCUUGGAGAUGACAUCCAGAACAAACUGUUUCAUCACCUUUCCAAGGACAGAGCGUGAAGACAUCUUUGUCUGGACAGCCUUGUGAGAAUGCUCCUUCAGCUUUUCUUAACCAUCAGGAUAGCAAGGAAGGACAGAGCCACCAGCCAAGGCUCCUGCGCAUCUGUAUGGAGUCACAUACAUGUGAAAUGAUAUCCCAAGCUAUCUGAAUCUGACCCAAGACUUCACGCCUGCUUGUUUAGAUGUGUGUCUGGAUAUCACUGCAGAAAUGAUAGCUGUAAGAAUACUCGGAGUUGUGCACAAAAGGCCUUCAGUCUUCAGUAAAUGCAAUUUAGAGCAUCAAAGUCGGAAGAGCUCCUCGUGUUUUUAUGGCAGUUCUUUAAUGUAAAGUGUGACCUCUGUUCUUAUUUACUGUACACUUUCCAGCUCUCUCACAGAUACAUAGUGAUCAUCUGCAAUCAGCUCCAAACACAGACACAAGAGAACUUCUUUUAACGCCCCUCUCCUCUCGUUAUUUGCUGGGAGGUCAGUUCUCACCGACCUCUUUGCAGAGAACCAGCAAUCCUUCCAGUGAUCACAGGAGAAGGUCGCAGGCUGGAUGUUCAGAGGAGAAACGUGCCAAUAGGAACUGCCUGUAAAACAUAUGGCUUGGGUGGCAUAGCACCUUCCUGCAGGAUUCAGGUUCACAGAAUGGUUUGGGUUAGAAGGGAUCUUAAAGCCCAUCCACUUCCAACCCCCUGCUGUGGGCAGUGUUGCCACCCACCAGAUCAAGCUGCCCAGGGCCCCACCAGCUUGGCCUUGAACACCUUCAAGGGGCACGUCUGGGCAAACCUGACACAUGGUAUGUGGAACAAGUAUGCUUUCAGAGCAUGUGCUACAGGGACAGCCCAGCGCAGGGAAUACCCUGCCCAAAUUCUUUCUUGUUGAUGACCAUAGAAUCAUAGAAUGGCUUGGGUUGGAAGGGAUCCCAAGGAUCACCAAGUUCCAACCCCCCUGCCAUAGGCAGAGCCAAAUGAUGUGUAUGUUUUUCUCCCAGUGUAGUACUGACGAGAUAUUACAGCAUAAUGGACCAUUUGAGAGCUGAAAAAACACAGCUGUGAAAGGAACCCCUCUGCCUAGUAUUCCUUGGACUUCGAAUAACGUGAAAACUGCAGCAUUUGAAAUCCAUACUCGGGAAAUAUCUUGUAUCUUGUCAUACAUUCCAUAUCUGAACACUUUAGUAACCCCUACUUGAUCUUGUCACACAUGAUUUCCAUGCUCAAAAGAAUUUUAGAGAUUUGUUCAAGUUUUCAUAGUAAAUAAUUGAUUAGUCCCCCACUUGAUAUUUUUUUCCUCUAAAUUUCUUCUGGAGCAGCUGAAAAAAGAAAAAAACACUAAACAGCACUUCUUAAAAAGCAGCAAUCCUAUCAAUCUACUGCUGAAAGAUGGAAUACAUCCCUCAUUUUUGGUGGACUUUUCCACUGUUUUUGCAGCAGUGUUACAUUCCCAUCAUCAUAGGUUCUGUGCAAAGGCACUUGAGAUGAAAAAGUCAAAGAAAACAGAAUUGAGUAUGUCUUCCCAAAGAGUAGGGAUUAGGGAAGUCCGUAGGCUUCUUGUGUUAUUCUGCUGCUCUUUAGGGCUUGUACAUACUCUAAAGGGAAUAGGCUUGGGUUUCGUUGCCUCUGUAUACAAGACUCUGACUUGCUGAUGCUUGGCAGGGAAUGCUCCCCAGAUCCUUUCCUGAUAAGAACAGAGGGAAUGUGAGGUUACUGAUGAUAUCAUUUUAAAGAAACUGUGAGGAAAACAAAGCAAAAGUCUGUUCUGUUUUGAUUUUUCUUUGAAAAUUUAACAUGUUCAGUUGUUGUUGUUGUUGUUGUUUUAAAGUAAAAAUAUUUCCUCAGUUUUAAACAGUAAAAGCAAAGUGGACCCAGUGGCAUAAUACAUGGAGAUGUUCACUACCAGACUUCACAUAAUAUUAAAGCUAUAAACCUGUCUUUGCUUUAAUUAAACUACUAAAGCUGUUAAUCUUUUAACCAGAAGAAUUAUUGCUCUGAAGGGAAAUAAUGGAAGUGAACAGACAAAACCCAUGAUAAAUUAAAUCUCUCAUAUUUAAUUAUUUAGCAUGCCAUAAUAUUUAUGUGAAGCUCCUAAUUUUUACAAGCCUACGUGUCACAGGGCUAUAAUCUACGUCAGUGCUGGGAGAUCAGGUGCAGGACACUGCUGUCCUCUCCCUCCCUGUGCAGCCACAAGGAGACAGGACGCAGCCUCUCCUUUCUCGUUGACCCAAGGGUUGUCUUGGCUUUUCAGCUCUGCAUCACUGCAUCCAUCCUCCAGAAAGACUCCCCCACCUUGCAAUUUUGGAAUAAAAAGAUAGUUCAGGUUGCCAUGGAAACCUUAAUUCUGAUUUCCGUGGCUUGUUUGCUGGUGAAGAUUUCAAUCUUCAAAACUGCAUUAAUUUUUCAAAGUGUAAUAUUGAUAUAAAUGCAUUUCUUGUGCAGCGUCAAAAAUGUUUGCGGCUGACAUUGAGGGAAUGUAAUUUAGAGUACGCGUUUCGUGUGGUUGGAGAUGAAGAUUACAGAGGAGCUACAGAAACGACUUCUACACCUGUUUACCCUUGAUAAUUGCAGGGUAACAUCUUGAUUGCUUGAUAUAUUUUUAUGUAUCUGUGGAUAUUCUUACAUUUUCCAUCAAAACAAU